rnacentral:lncRNA from 1 species
CUCUGAAUAUAGUCUUGAAUUCUAUUUAAAGAUUUAACUUGCUUUUCAUUGGGAAGGCUAGGCAUCUUGUUUUAAAUAUGCUUUCCUUGGAUAGAAUAAAUAGGCAGAGAAUUAUGGGUGAGCUCUGAAACUUCUUGACAAAAGAUGUUUGAAAUAUUUAUUUUUGAAAUAUCAUCAUUAUCUGAAAACAAAAUGUUAAAGUCACUAAGAUGUUAAAGCACAAGGAUUUCAAUUAUUAAUUCAAAAAUACCGUUCUUAGUCAAGGUCUGGAAUGAUUUAUGUAACUAUUUAAAAAAAUUACACAUGGUUUUAUUUUGUUAGUUCCUGGUUGUUAUGAAUUUGAUUUUGCCCAUGUUUGGUCAAGUUGAUAAGUUUCUAAGAAUUCUUCGACAUUCCAGGCUUAUUGUUUGUUAGGGAUCUGCCAAGUCACUGAGCACAUAAGGCUGCUCAUGGCAAAGUGUCUGCUUCAAUAUUUAGCAUCAUAUUCUCAAAUGGACCAGAAGGACCAGCUGGAGAACACAAGAUACUUGGCAGAUAUUUCAACCAGAAUUGCUCCAACUGCUUUUGACCAUACCACUCAGGAUUAA